GGGUUUCUCGCUUGACGGCAAAGCACACGUUUCCAACACGUGCAGAUCGGGGUUCGAAUCCCUGGAAGCCCGCCA
rnacentral:tRNA from 1 species